rnacentral:rRNA from 1 species
CCCACUCCCGCACUCUCCUCCCCGUCCUGCCUCUACUCUUCCCCGCCCAAUCCUCCUGUCGCCGCCUCCGCUCAAAAACCUAGCCCGCACACGACCCUCCCUCCUUUUCCUCCUCUUCUGCCGCCGCCGCCUCUCCUCCUCCUCUUCCCCUCUCUCCCGUGUCGUCGCCGCUUCUCAUCCUCCUCUCCACGCUAGCGCGGUAGGGUCAUCGGGAUGAGCAGGGUGCUGGCCGCUCGUCCUCUGUCCUGAGUUUAGGUUGCCCGUAUGAGAAAAGAGAGAAGAGGAUUAAUCUUCCUCUGCCAGAUCUGAGAAAAAAGAGAAAAGGAUGAAUCUUGAGGAAGAGCUUGGUGAAGAACAAGGUUCGAGGAUGUAAAUCUAUCUGAUAUGUUGUUGAUGGGGAUUAAGAUUAUUGUACUGACAUAUCUGAAAGUAUUCUACUGACAUAUCUGAGAAUUUUAAUGAUCUACCAGCACCUAGGUGUUAAGCUUCAGGCUGGGUGCAUGUUUCUUUUUGUCGGAAACAAAACAGCUUAGGGGACAGGGGUUCAUCUGUACGGGAGCACAUCAUUGGAGAAAAAUGACAUGAUCAAAAGGAAAUAGAUUUCAGUGCAGGCUCGUGCACCUGUUUUCCUUUUCCCCUUCGAUGGGGUCGUUCAGUUGAGGUGAAGCAAGCAAGCACCUCCCCGUGCCUUGCAUGUAAGAAAUCACCUCCUUAUGUUGCUUUGCCUGACUAUUUUUCUUUUAAACCUUUCUUCCGUAUUUGACUACUGGAUGACCAUUAUAUAUCUACCAAAAAGGGAAACACAAAUAUACUUAGACACGUAAUACUUCGUUUUUCACCUAAUAUGCACAUGUGGUUUCAGUUUUCCAAAAUAUAUACCAUUGAGAAACUAACUGGAUGAUAUUAACAUUUGCAGCCAUAUCUUGGUUUCAAUGGUAAAGAUUUUUGCCAAUCCCAUAGAGAUAAUUGAAUUUGAGAAGCAAAUAAAUUAAGUUUAAACUGUUUCCUUUGAUGAAAUUCUAAUGUUUUUUCAAACAAACUAUGAUGAACUUAAAAUCCAUAAUAUGAAGUUGUGCCUGCUACAGCAGUACAGUUGAUGCUUAGGGACUAAUUCCUUAUAUUUCCUGAUGUAUUGGUUGAGACCAAGGAGAGAGCGAGCCAUUGCAGAGGAGAGGGGAUACGAGGGUGGGCGGAGGCCAGGCAUUGCUAACAGAUUUGCGGCGGAGCGGGAAGCCGGCGCCUCACCACUGGCUCCUGUUUGGCGGUGGCAAAGGGAAAGCUGCCGAGGAUGUGUUGCUCUAUGCACGGCUGUCGAAGUACAUUCUUGCUAUGAUGUAAUGUUUCUCCUCAACGACCAAAUCAACCUGUCUGGUGUUCGCACAUGUCAUUUUGGUUGAGGUUACUGCCAUUCCACCUCUUCCUCGUGAUGGUAUAGGAGUACACACUAAUUCGAUAAAUAAGAGGCGAAGUUGCCAACGCCUGAGAUAGUGGUUCCUACCUUUGGCCUUCGCACCUUUAGUUCCGCAAGUAGUUCAGCAACUCAAAUGAGCUCAAGGCAGAGAUGGCGGAGCUCGAGCGAGCUCGAGACUAUGGAUCCAGGGCUUGAGUGCUCACGGGAUGGAGGCAGGGGAGGGCGCCCUACGGGAAGUGAUUUAUGUGCUCCUUCAUCUGGCUUUUUAUAACUGAUGACAUCUUACAUUGUUGUCUUUACCGGUUAACUGGUUAACUCUUUUCCUAAAUGGUCUUAGAUUUCUGCUUUCUAUUUGCGCCUGUCUCUUUUUACAAGAGAUGAGAUCUUACACAAUAUAUUUUUGCCUUGGUUGAUUUAAUUAAAAUUUUCCUUCAGCACGUGCAUAUGAUGUUAAUAUAAAGCUAUUUGGAAGAACAUAUCCAUGGGCGAAAACAUAUUAUCAUGUAUUUUGUCUGUCAUUUUGCUUGUGUUGAUGUAGUUUAUUGAGCUUUUUCACACGUCAUGAUAUUAUGCCUUAAUUUCUACUAGGCUGCUUUUACAUUUAAAAUUCAUUGUACAAACAUUAUUUACCUAAUUUAUGGAAACAAUAAAUUUGUAGCUCAGGUCAACUAGGAGAUGAUGUAAACCAAGUCGCUCACUGGUUUAAAAUGGUAUGUUCUGAACUUUCGUUGCUUUAUGAAAGGACUAAAGAUGUUAGAUAUGCAUGCUACUACAGUUUAGCCAUUUUUCAGUUUUCUACAUGAGCCACAUUGCCGAAGCCUUUGGACAGGCACUUUGUGGUAGAAUGUGUCAAACAUAGGUCUGUUUGCUAGAAUAUGUGUUGUGCCGAUGCUGCAACUAGCAUACGCAAAAUCACUUUGCUAUAUAUUUUUCAUAAUGCUACAUUUCAUCAAUUAAAUGACUUCUUAUUGUUUUGAAUCUACUUACAUAGGUGUUUACAGAUUUACUUUGUUCCAGCGCCUACUCUAGAUCAUAGGAAACUAAAAAAAGAGGGCGCCGCCACCACCGUCAUGUCCACAUCCACGCGCUGCUCGGCGUCACCAGGUCACCGGCACAAUUCCUCACGCCUAGGUCGUUCAACAUUUUCUUCCGCUUUUGGUGUGUCACAUUUAGAGUCUUUCUUCCUCAUUUUACCGUGUUUGCAUGGUAAGAUGUUUGGUCGGAUUUGAAGGUUCGUAGCCUUGGCUCCAAAGCUUCAAGCUCUUAUACAAAUUAGAACCGAGGGCCUGGAUUCGCUUGUACCUGUAUUGAAAGAACCUGGCAUCGCUUGUACUUAUAGUAAGUAGAAAUUUUUCUCAUAUGUUUCAAUAUGUGCCCGAAUAAUAUUAAUGUACACUCUUUCAAUACAUGUAUUACUCUUGGCCUUUGCGCCAUUGGCGCAACUGGUCAUCUAGUUCUUAG